CUUAAAUUGAAGAGUUUGAUCAUGGCUCAGAUUGAACGCUGGCGGCAGGCCUAACACAUGCAAGUCGAGCGGUAGCACAGGAGAGCUUGCUCUCUGGGUGACGAGCGGCGGACGGGUGAAUAAUGUCUGGGAAACUGCCUGAUGGAGGGGGAUAACUACUGGAAACGGUAGCUAAUACCGCAUAACCUCGCAAGAGCAAAGAGGGGGACCUUCGGGCCUCUCG
rnacentral:rRNA from 1 species